rnacentral:lncRNA from 1 species
AUGGUAACCGCGCUGCCAGCGCCACUGGAAGCUGCCGGGGCUGUUGUGACAGCGGCACAUUCUCCCCAUUCUCCCCAUUCUCCCCAAUUUUCCCCAAUUUUACCCCAUUUUUUUUCUAUUUUUUCCCCAUUUUUCCCCAUUUUCCCCAAUUUUUUCACCAUUUUUUUUUCUAUAUUUUUCCCAUUUUUCCCCAUUUUUCCCCAUUUUUUCUCUCAUUUUUCCCCAUUUUUUCUCCCAUUUUCCCCCAUUUUUUCCCCAUAUUUUCUCCAAUUUUUGUCCAAUUUUUCCCCAUUUUUUCCCAAUUUUUCCCCAUUUUUUCCCAAUUUUUUCCCCAUUUUUUUUUCUAUUUUUUCCCAAUUUUUCCCCAUUUUCCCCAUUUUUCCCCAUUUUUCCCCCAUUUUUUUUCUAUUUUUUCCCCCAUUUUUCCCCCAUUUUUCCCCAUUUUUUCCCCAUAUUUUCUCCAAUUUUUUUCCAAUUUUUCCCAUUUNNNNNNNNNNNNNNNNNNNNUUUUUUUCCCCAUUUUUUCCCCAUUUUUCCCCCCAUUUUUUCCCAUUUUUCCCCAUUUUUCCCCCAUUUUUUCCCCAUUUUUUCCCCAUUUUUCCCCCAUUUUUUUCCCAUUUUUUCACCAAUUUUCCCCAAUUUCCCUCUCAUUUUAUUCCAAUUUUUUUCCCAUUUUUUCCCCAUUUUUCCCCAUUUUUCCCCGUUUCCUCACGUGGGCUCACAGCUGGCCACGCCGUCGCCAUGGUAACCGCGCUGCCAGCGCCACUGGAAGCUGCCGGGGCUGUUGUGACAGCGGCACAUUCUCCCCAUUCUCCCCAUUCUCCCCAAUUUUCCCCAAUUUUACCCCAUUUUUUUUCUAUUUUUUCCCCAUUUUUCCCCAUUUUCCCCCAUUUUUUUCCCAUUUUUUUUCCUAUUUUUUCCCAUUUUUUUCCCCAUUUCUCAGACAAUUUUCCCCAUUUUUUUAGUGUUUUUUGUCCAAUUUUUUCCCCAUUUUCCCCCAUUUUUUCCCCAUAUUUUCACCAAUUUUUUUCCAAUUUUCCCCCAUUUUUCCCCAUUUUUCCCCCAUUUUUUUUUCUAUUUUUUUCCCCAUUUUUCCCCAUAUUUUCACCAAUUUUUUUCCAAUUUUUCCUCCAUUUUUCCCCAUUUUUUCCCCAUUUUUUCCCCAUUUUUUCCCCAUUUUUUUUCUAUUUUUUUCCCCAUUUUUCCCCAUUUUUCCCCAUUUUUCCCCAUUUUUCCCCCAUUUUUUUUCUAUUUUUUCCCCCAUUUUUCCCCCAUUUUUCCCCAUUUUUUCCCCAUAUUUUCUCCAAUUUUUUUCCAAUUUUUCCCAUUUUUCCCCCAUAUUUUCCCCAUUUUUCCCCCAUUUUUCCCCAUUUUUUUCCCCAUUUUUUCCCCAUUUUUCCCCAUUUUUUCCUAUUUUCUCCCAUUUUUCCCCAUUUUUCCCCCAUUUUUUCCCCAUUUUUCCCCAUUUUUCCCAUUUUUCCCCCAUUUUUCCCCAUUUUUCCCCGUUUUUCCCGUUUUCCCGGUUUCCGUCCCCGUUUCCUCACGUGGGCUCACAGCUGGCCACGCCGUCGCCAUGGUAACCGCGCUGGCAGCGGCACUGGAAGCUGCCGGGGCUGUUGUGACAACGGGCGCGCGGGUGACAACGAGCCAGGCCCAGCCUGCACUCGUCCACGUCCGGACACCGGCUGUACCACCACCGCUGGUCACCCUGCUGGUCAUCCUCGUCACCGUGGUCACCUUGGUCACCUUGGUGGUCACCUUGGUCACCUUGGUCAGCCUGGUGGUCAGCGUGGUCACCUUGGUCACCUUGGUGGUCAUGGUGGUCAUGGUGGUCAUGGUUGUCAUUGUGGUCAUGGUGGUCACCUUGGUGGUCAGCGUGGUCACCUUGGUCACCUUGGUGGUCAGCGUGGUCACCUUGGUCAGCCUGGUGGUCAUUGUGGUCAUGGUGGUCACCAUGGUGGUCAGCGUGGUCACCUUGGUCACCUUGGUGGUCAGCGUGGUCAUCGUGGUCAUCAUGAUCAUGGUGGUCACCUUGGUGGUCACCGUGGUCAUUGUGGUCAUCAUG